rnacentral:snoRNA from 1 species
CAUCCAUGAUGAAGACACUUGAGUAUAUAGUCUUGAAAAUGCUCCCAAGCUUCUAGGACUGUCUCAUCAUGUUGUAGAUAAAAGCUUGCUAUCUUCCCACGAAGAGC